UUUCCCUAAAAAGGACAAGCCGGCCCAUUGGCUUUAGUCAACGGCCGCGGUAUCCUAACCGUGCGAAGGUAGCGCAAUCACUUGUCUUCUAAAUAAAGACUAGUAUGAAAGGCAUCACGAGGAUUAAACUGUCUCCUCCCUCUAAUCAGUGAACCUAAUCUCCCCGUGAAGAAGCGGGGAUAAUCCUAUAAGACGAGAAGACCCUAUGGAGCUUUAAACAGUACCACACGUGCAACCUAACCCUACUACCAAGGUACCCCACCCCAUACGCACGCUGAUUAUAUGUUUUUGGUUGGGGUGACCGCGGAGAAUAAACUAUCCUCCAUGAUGAAUGGGACUUUCCCUAAGAAUCAAGCCACAACUUUACCCAUCAAUAAAUUGACAUUCAUUGACCCAAUAUU
rnacentral:rRNA from 1 species